CCCAUCCCGGCCGCUGCACUGAUACUUCCAUGUCAUAUUUGUAUUCCACACAACAAUUGUAUGAAGCCAGUCCGCCUGCUGAAUCCCAGCUCCUGUGCUCGGGAAAGGUGGAGAGCCGCACAGCAAGCAUCAGACUGCCGACAUCCAAGAGGAACUCCAGCCCGGGCGGACAAUAACAUCUCUUCUUCUUUAUUAUCUUCUAAUUAAUAAUGUUGUCAUUGAAUACAACUAUUGGUGAUCGGGACUAAACCGCGUAGAUUCCAUUCCUACCACAAGUGCAGAGACCUGCCCAGUAUUAUCAUAAGGUGUCUGAACAGUAGGUCCCAGUUCACACAUGAGAUCGCGGCUGCACUGUCAUCUCUUGCCAGGUUUCCCCGGUCAGGGGCCGGAGGUCUCUGAUAGAAUUUCCCUUCCUUGGAAAAGAUUCAUCCUGAGCUUUUCUGUUAUAUUCACAAGGACAAGCGUUAUAUCCAGAUCUGCUAGAUAGGAUAAGGUCACAUUCAAGUAUUUGUUUAGAGAAGCCGAAGACUUUGUCAGUGACGGGAAUCUCCUCCCCGGUAUACAGGCUCCGAUACAUGUAUCUCUAUGGGGUUUAUUUGGUUAACCUUCUGUUUAAUGCAAAUUAGAAUCGAAUCCUUAAUUGAAUUACUAGGUAACCGCGUAAUAACAGGAAACCACAGAAUUGUCGGGAACCUGAUAAUCACCAAUGUAAUUGCUGUUAAUUGACACAAGAUGUCGCUGUUGUACAAUGAAUGGAAUAAAGAACUAGAACUGUG